rnacentral:rRNA from 1 species
UGGGGAAUAUUGCACAAUGGGGGAAACCCUGAUGCAGCGACGCCGCGUGAGCGAAGAAGGUUUUCGAAUCGUAAAGCUCUGUCCUAUGGGAAGAUAAUGACGGUACCAUAGGAGGAAGCCCCGGCUAACUACGUGCCAGCUGCCGCGGUAAUACGUAGGGGGCAAGCGUUGUCCGGAAUCACUGGGCGUAAAGGGUUCGCAGGCGGAAAUGCAAGUCAGUUGUGAAAGGCAGAGGCUCAACCUCUGUAAGCAAUUGAAACUGUAUGUCUUGAGAUGUGGAGAGGCAAGUGGAAUUCCUAGUGUAGCGGUGAAAUGCGUAGAUAUUAGGAAGAAUACCGGUGGCGAAGGCGACUUGCUGGACACAAACUGACGCUGAGGAACGAAAGCGUGGGUAGCAAACAGG